AUUCCUCUUUCAUAGCCUUAACUAAAAGUACUCUGAAGGAGCAGUUACCUCCUGUUUGCUACUAAGUGGAAGAUAACAAUUCUGAAGAUGAUGCUACAAAUACUGCCCAAAGAGAAAGAAUUUUUGUAUUUUGUCACAGAAAUGGACUAGGACAGAUAGCUGUUGGCCUCUCUGCUGCACCAGUGAGAAGCUGCAGAGGCAGAAGCUGGUCUAUGCUGUCCCUCACUUCUCC
rnacentral:lncRNA from 1 species